GCCUAACGGCUGAACUGGGCACUUGGAGAAGUGGCAAGUUUUAUAAUUAAUAGUAAUUAAUAUUUCUAUUUUUAUAAAAUUCUAUUAGAAUUGAAUGAAGCUUUGUUUAUAUAUUGAUAAUGACAGUAUAUAUAUCGUGUCUUGACUAAUUGCGUGCCAGCAGUCGCGGUAAUACGUAAGAGACUAGUGUUAUUCAUCUUAAUUAGGUUUAAAGGGUACCCAGACGGUCAAUAUAUCUUCUAUAAUGUUAGUACUUGACUAGAGUUUUAUGUAAGAGGGCAGUACUUGAGGAGGAGAGAUGAAAUUUCGUGAUACCAAAGGGACUCUGUAAAGGCGAAGGCAGCCCUCUAUGUAGAAACUGACGUUGAAGGACGAAGGCACAGAGAACAAACAGGAUUAGAUACCCAAGUAGUCUUUGCAGUAAAUGAUGAAUGCCAUAGGUCAGAUCUAAAUUUAAUGUUUAUAGAUUAUAAAAGCGCCUUAAUUGGCAACUUUGCAAAAAAUUAUAAAUAUUAAAAAUUAUUUGGUCUAUAAAUGAAAGUGUAAGCAUUUCACCUCAAGAGUAAUGUGGCAACGCAGGAACUGAAAUCACUAGACCGUUUCUGACACCAGUAGUGAAGU
rnacentral:rRNA from 1 species